rnacentral:tRNA from 1 species
GCGGGCGUCGCCAAGUGGCAAGGCAUCAGCCUUCCAAGCUGACACCGCGGGUUCGAAUCCCGUCGCCCGCU